rnacentral:lncRNA from 10 species
CAAUUCUCCUUCCUCAGCCUCCCAAGUAGCUGAGAUUACAGGCAUGCACCACCACACCUGGCUAAUUUUGUAUUUUUAGUAGAGACAGGGUUUCUCCGUGUUGGUCAGGCUGGUCUCGAACUCCCAAUCUCAGGUGAUCCGCCCACCUCGGCCUCCCAAAGUGCUGGGAUUAUAGAUGUGAGCCACCACGCCUGGCCUCCCCAUUUUAUAGAUCAUAAGGCUGAGGCUUAAAAGGGAAAAACCCACCCCAGGUCACGGUUAGCAAGUGGUAGAGCUGGAGCUGGAAUUUGAGCU